rnacentral:rRNA from 1 species
UACGAAGGGGGCUAGCGUUGCUCGGAAUUACUGGGCGUAAAGGGCGCGUAGGCGGGUUAUCAAGUUGGAGGUGAAAGCCCAGGGCUCAACCUUGGAAUUGCCUUCAAAACUGAUAGCCUAGAGUAUGAUAGAGGUAAGUGGAACUCCGAGUGUAGAGGUGAAAUUCGUAGAUAUCUGGAGGAAUACCGGUGGCGAAGGCGGCAUCCUGGACCGGCAUUGACGCUGAGGAGCGAAAGCCAGGGGAGCAAACGGG